GCUGAGUCAGGGUGUGGGGCUCUGAUUGGCUGGGCAGAGUCACUGACCUGGAAUCAGGAAGCUAAGGCCAGCCCCACCUUAAUCGGUCGGUGGCAGAUUUCCCCAAAGAAGUCAAGACGUGCUACCAAAGAGAAAGGGGAAUGGAUACUAGGCAUCGAAAAUCAGCAGAACUCUUACGGGCACGUGGUGGAGGAGCGGAGGGAGGCUGGGCAGACUUUAUACCAACCGUUCCUGCCUCCGGGGCCCAGCAUUCUAACAACUUCCCACCCUCCGAGGCAGUCAUACAAAGAGCCGAUUCCUCCGGGAGCCGAGAGAAGUGCAUCAGCAGCUUUAGCUCUGCCAUUCCCUUACACGUAUUUAACCUCCUGGACGCAAGAAUUCAAUCUGGCUUGUCUGCCUCUCCCCACGGACCUCAGAAUCCAGCCGGAGCCAGUACGUCACACUUCCUGCAGCAGCCCGAGGGUCAGGAGUUCAGCCAUUGAGCCAUUGCCUGGGGAGCGGGGGGUCUUAAUAAGCAUUACAUCCUCCCCCAAAGCUCCAACAGCUGUGUUUCCCGCUCGGAAGGAAAGAGACCAAAUAAAGCAGCAGGACGAAUUACGUGUGCAGAAAAGCGCAGCGUGGGAUUCCGAGUCCAAAGUGUUACUAGGUUUCGGGGGGCGAAAAGAGGUCUCCAGCAAAAUAUUUCAAAAUCCAGAUUCAAGAGAGGCAACUCACAACUUAAAGAUUGCCCAGAUAUCUGCCCUCCGAGGAUCAGCAUUGCAAAAGUGGAUGUUAAAAGUCAGACAAGGAAAUGGAAAAACAGCAGCUCAAGAACCAGACUGGCGUGCAAAUGCUGGCAUCCCAUCCAAGGAGUGUGUGCCCCGGGAGCUGUCUGCCAGGCUCUGUCCAGGUCUGCCAUGGUGGGGACAGUGCUGCUGCUGUUGUUAUCUGGUCAUCGGACACGGUCACUCACCACAUUCCCCAGCGGGGCUUAUAGACAACAAAGGGGCCGAGGUAGUUUUCAAGGGCUGCGUGGCAACAGGGUGUCAUUCUUCGCAUAUAAAGGUGACGUUACUGGUCUGCAGUCCCGAGCAAGAAGCCUCAUCAAGCCCUGGAAAGGGAUUGGCCCGGAUCCUUCUCCAAGCUCCUCCCCCUGUAUCUCUCCAUUUGCCCCAAAACAGUGGGGCCCAUUUGCAGGUCAGCUGGAGAAACGGAGAGGGCAGCCCUUGACCUGA
rnacentral:lncRNA from 1 species